CAGUAUUUGACUGAAUUUCCAUCACUUGGCCACCACAGCUUUCGAACAUUUGUUUAAGAUAACAUUUAAUAAACAUAAUAUCCUGAUCUUCAGGAAGGUUACUAACUAGGAGAUCGUAAUAUGCAGUAACCUGGAAGAUGGCAGUGAUUCCAUAAGUUCUGAGAAAUCAUAGUGCUCAUUAGCACACAGUAUCAAUGCUUCAGAUAUAUUUUUCAUGUGUAAAAGUAUCACAUGAAUUUUCUUCCUAUAACGUAAAUCACUAAGAUCAGGAGCAAAAUUAAUAUCACCAGAUAUUAAAAUCACAGCUGCUGGACUUCCAUGAAUAUCAGCAAAUCUUCUAAUAGAUUGCUUGAGUUUUUCAUCAGCAGCAUUUUUACACUCUCUAGCAACAUGUAUUAAAUUAACCUGUGAAACACAAGAUUUAUAAAUGCAACAUUAUAAUAUAAAAAAAUGAUACUAUUAUUAAAUAAUUUAUAAUAUUAAAAGAUAUACAGAUUAACUUA